rnacentral:rRNA from 1 species
UACGUAGGGUGCGAGCGUUGUCCGGAAUUAUUGGGCGUAAAGAGCUCGUAGGCGGUGUGUCGCGUCGGCCGUGAAAACCUGCAGCUUAACUGUGGCUUGCGGUCGAUACGGGCAUCACUGGAGUUCGGCAGGGAGACUGGAAUUCCUGGUGUAGCGGUGAAAUGCGCAGAUAUCAGGAGGAACACCGGUGGCGAAGCGGUCUCUGGCCGAUACUGACGCUGAG